ensembl:lncRNA
GGGCGGCAGCGCCGAGGGGCAGGACGCGUGGGGGGCGCUGCCCGCCCGUCUGCGGGGCCUGCGGCUGGCGGAGCAGCAGCAGCAGCAGCAGCAGCAGCAGCAGCAGCAGCAGCAGCAACAACCGCCGCCGAUACAGAGCGAGCAGCGGCCCGUGGAAACCGCCCUGCAGCGCCCCCAGCCUCCUGCACCGCCCGUCGCCUGCGCGAGGGGUUUGGGCGAGAGGCUGUUCAAGAGAAGGUCAUGUUAGUCCAGUAGAAGUGUCAGCAGCAAGACCAUACCUGCCCAGCUAUUUCAGAAUGAAGAAAUGCAAAGAAACGUCCCAAAACCUGUUCUCUCUUCUCUGUGGGUGA